ensembl:lncRNA
UCAAAAAAUAUGAUGAAAAUUGCCAGAGGAAAAAUAAUUAGACUGCAAAAUUUCUGUUUUAUGGCAACAGCUAUAUUCAUUUGUGGACUUCCUCACCGGUGUAAAACACAAAGUUCAAAGAGACGGAGUGCUUGAUUAUAUUAGAAGUUUUCCAAUAUAACUAACCUCAAAGUAACAAGUAUUGUGUGCACUCCGUUGCAAGCUUUAACUUGUUUAUUCUAACAAUACAGAAGAUGACUGAAAGAGAACAGACAUGCAAUCAAGAUGAUUUGCUCUUUCGUUUAUGUCUAAACUCCUCUUACCCUUCACCAACCCUCUUUCUCCACAUACUCAUAUGGACAGCCUUGAUGUCAAAGAGCAGAUAUAUUGAAAUCACACAAGUAGAAAUCAGUCUGAGGGUUGCAAUUAUCCGACAUAGGUGGCUAUUGAGUAAAGUGGCACAUACAUGCACAGGCAGAUGCUCACACAAAUACAUAAAAAUAGAGUUUAAACAACACAUAUCCCUUGCCAUUUAAACACAGGGUAGACAGAAAUUUGAAUUUGAAUUUGAAUUUGAAAGGUCGAGCAAAGAGAAACAAACUGGAUAUUAUGCAAAAAAGGUGUGCUUAAACUGUAGGUCUCUUAGUAAUGAUGGUUCUCCUGCAGACACGUCAGGAUAUUUCCUGAGUCAUGACAAAUAUGUUAGUUUACAGGAAGAAAACAUACAAUUUAUAUAUUCAUUUAUGCAGAACAAUUACAUGUAAUUAUUUUCAGCCAGGAAAAAAAAAAAAAAAAAAAAAAAAAAAUCUGCAGAUGAUACAUUACUGUACCUACUUAAUCAAGCUAUUAAAAAAAAAAACAAAAAAAAAAAAACAGCAUUUUGUCAUCCAUAAUCGGGUCACAUUUAUGCAAAUGCUCCUUACAACUUUAUUUAGACGCACCGAGGACAGUGACUGUAUUUGCAUGAUUUUCACCAUAUAUUGCACAAGACUUGAUGCACUUGCUUAAACCUAAUCUAAGAUACAGGUAACUCCUAGAAUAUGUAUAAUAUGUGAAACUAUAUUUUUUAGACAGACAGACAGAUCAUGUAAUGAAGGGCUGUCCAUGCAAGAAGAUUACACCCCUGCUUGUGUGUUGAUCAUAAUGGAGGGAAAGAGGUAUUCAAUGGUUGUAAAAGUGUGGCAGAUGGCUUUAUCUAUGCAAUGAUAAAUGCAUAGAUCCGUGUUCUUUUAAAGUUUUUGGAGCUAAAAUAAAUCUGCUAGGUCAAUGAUGAGAGCAUGAUGUUUUUCAACAAAUUUUGUGUACUAACCUUGCACUUUAAAAGAAUGUCUUUGUGGUUAGUAAAGGAAAAUUUAGUUGAGACUGAGCUCAUUUUUUAUGGCUAACAUUUUAAAUCUUCUUUUAAGGACAGAAGGUUUGAGUGUAUAACACUGUUAAUUAUUACUUAAAAUACUUAAAUGUAAUUGAAUGUUCUAUGUUACUGAAUGCAGUUAUAUAUCUUAAGUGUUAGUAUAACACUUUAAAAGGGAUUUUUUCUGGUAUUUCAUGGGGCAUUUUCUUAGUCCGUGUUCUUUUAAAGUUUUUGGAGCUAAAAUAAAUCUGCUAGGUCAAAUUUCUUAUUUACAAGUACUUGUUUAUCCAGUCAAAGACAUCAAAUCAGAGUCAUUUCUAAAGUUCUUUAGGAAUUCU